AAGACUAUACUUUCAGGGAUCAUUUCUAUAGUUCGUUACUAGAGAAGAUUCUCUGAAUGUGUAGAGUACCCGAAACCACGAGGAGGAGGCGAAGUGUUCUCUCUUGAGCGUGAAACUGGCUUUUAGUGCUGUCGUUACAGUUGCUGAUUGCCGUUGAUGAUCGUUCUUUCUCUUCUUUAUGGAAGAGUAAGAGGGAGAGAGCACAGUCUGAGUGGU